rnacentral:lncRNA from 1 species
AGGAUGAUAGUGUUAUUUUGAUGAUUAACAAGCAAUUCUCUAGAGUAUGCUAUAAGUUAAAAUUGAUACUUCAUUUAUAAGUUCAUUGCUCUCAGUAUAUUUGUUUAAUUGAAUAUAUAUAUAUGGUCUUGUUCAUUUGGAUGGAUCUAAUCUUGAGAAUGCAGCAAAGUGUGAAUUGAGUCGACCCAUAGGGUGAUUGGGUCGACCCCGGGACUUAAAGGAAUCAUCUGGCACACUCCUGCAAAAACAGCACAAAUGAACAGUGAGUUGGGUCGACCCAAGGUAGGCAUGAGUCGACCCAACCUCCAAAGAACCUCAAAAUGCAAAGAAAAAAUGCUCUCUGGAUUUACUGAGAGGGUCGACCCACACAGUGGUUGAGUCGACCCAAGCUUGAGUCGACCCAAACCCUGAGAAGGUCGACCCAAAGACAAGACAGAAAGACAGACAGAAAAUGGUUCUCUGAAAUUACUGAGAGCGACCCAAGAAGAAGUUGAGUCGACCCAAGUGAACUUUGAGUCGACCCAAACCCUGAGAGGGUCGACCCAAAUGGAAGACAGAAAGACAGACAG